AUUGAACGCUGGCGGCAGGCCUAACACAUGCAAGUCGAGCGGGGGUAGCAAUACCCUAGCGGCGAACGGGUGAGGAAUGCUUGGGAAUCUGCCUGGUAGUGGGGGAUAACGUUCCGAAAGGAACGCUAAUACCGCAUACGUCCUACGGGAGAAAGGGGGGGAUCUUCGGACCUCUCGCUAUCAGAUGAGCCCAAGCGGGAUUAGCUAGUUGGUGGGGUAAAGGCUCACCAAGGCGACGAUCCCUAGCUGGUCUGAGAGGAUGAUCAGCCACACUGGAACUGAGACACGGUCCAGACUCCUACGGGAGGCAGCAGUGGGGAAUAUUGGACAAUGGGCGAAAGCCUGACCGAGCAAUGCCGCGUGCGGGAUGAAGGCCUCGGUUGUAACCGACUGUCAGUGGGAGGCGAAGUU
rnacentral:rRNA from 1 species